rnacentral:rRNA from 15 species
AGGUGAACCUGCGGAGGGAUCAUUACACAAU